GUUAACUGUGAUGAGUCACAUACAGACACAGACCUGUAAUGAUUUGCGGCUAUGAUCGCAGAUUUAUUGAACAUCUAAGGGACUGAGUUAAC